CCAACACUGAACAUCAGCGCCGAAAAAAUAUGCGCUGCAAACUUAUACAUAUGCCACAUGUGUUUGGAACUACGAAUGCAGUAUCUAUGUACAUCUAAAUCUAUGGUCUGAGCUGGUGCGAUUAAGUGAAGGCAGGGACCAAAAAUACAAAAUGAGGAAAGCGUGUAGAGUUACAUUCAAGCUGUUUCUAAGCAUGAAGAAAUUACUGUGACAGGAAAACAUUUACAUAUGUUAGUAUAAUGCUAAAAGAUGAGUUUUAAGGAAUAACAUUUUUCACAACAGGGGAACUUUAAGAAAGUAAAUACAGAUUUCAUUAAUGAUAAUGUAUCAGGCACUUAUUCUGUAAUACUGAUGCUGCAUAAAACAUGUAACAAUCUAUUUAUCCAACCGUAAAACUUAAUAUGAGCCGAGACUGCAAUAAGACUAUUAUAUACUUAAACAGUCAUCUAAUUUCUUAAUAUGGUCACCCAGUGUUAAAUCCAUUAAAUCCAAAUCUCUUUUCAUUUUCUUUCUGUAUGUAUGAGAUUGGGUCAUUCUGACAGGAUUAUCACAGUCUGCCAUUUCACACAUAAUCUUAUUCCUGGACUGAUCUGUUACUCCAGACUCAGACUGCUCCAUUUGCUGAAGAGAUUAUGUGAGGUCAGUUACUGAUGUCUGUGGAGGAGAGACGCUGAGAGCAUACAGACCGACUGGAUUUAAACAAUUCAGCGCUGACUGACCUUGACUGGAGGAUCAGUCUGCCUAAAAUCUCUCAUGAGAGCUUAGACAAACUCUUUGAAAGACUAGCGCUCUUUAGCCACGAGCUAGCCUAGCUGGGAUGUUUAUACUAAAUGGAGUUAACAUUAAAAGUCUUAUUAGGGAUUGACGGUUGGCAGAAAAAACUUAAUGAGCAACCAAAAAAAAAAAAAAAGUAUUCAUUGUCCCUGUAGAUCAAAUGUGGCCAUGAACCACCUGCAUAUGAAAAAGAGACUAAAAAUAGGGCAAGAGAGAAGAGCAGCGGUCACAAAAACCAAAACCUCACAAAACUGUGUGCUACAGCCACAUCUAUCAUCAGGUCUCUUUCUGUUUAGUGUGACAUCUUUAGUGUGACAUCUUAUUAACUAUUCAGUCAAAAAAACUGCAGUACCAUCAUCCAAUGGGAGAAUGUGCAGACAGACGCUCAAAGCAAUGUGGAAAGAUUCACAACCAAUCCAUAUGUUUCAAUUAAUAAUUUUUUAUAUUUGUAUUAUUUAUUUCAAAGUACCUCCGUAAAUUGAUUUUAAAGAUUAAAAUGUAGAAUAUCUUAGCAAACAAUCAGACAUACAAGCUUUAAAAAAUAAAAGGUGAAUAGCUGAAAGGUGAGCAGCAUUUUGCAUUCUUUGCUGUUAAAGUCAUUUAACCUCAACUUGCUCUUUACCACAGAAAACAUACAGACAUUGAAAUGUGUUCAUCUAGAGAUGGCGACUUCCUGUGACCAGCUUUAAACCAAAGAGGUCGACUGUGCUUUUAUUUUAAACUCAUUAUCCAGCAGAGGAAUCAUGAUGAUGAUGACUGCUCCAGUCAUCUUUCUCCUUUCAUCGAUUGGCAGCAUUCAGGGUGUACAGAACACAACCCAGUAUGACCGUGGCCAUGAUAACCUACCAUCAAAUGGUUCCCACCUUGCAGUCUCUUCCAGGCCUGAUUUGCUUGUGUCCAGAGAGAUUUCCCAUAAUUCCACAACAACCGGUAAAAUACUCUCUAUAAACAUAAUACUUCCAAUAUCAUUGUAUACUAAAAUAAAUAAGGGAUGCCACUGAGAAAAUACAUUUAAAAUCCAAAUUCAUCCAAAUCUGUCCUUUAUCCAUUCUUUCAGUAUAUGUGACCCUAGACCACAAACCAGUCACAUUGUAAGUCGCACGGGUAUAUUUGUAACAAUAGCCAACAAUACAUUGUAUAAGGGCUUGGGCAGUAUCCAAAUUUUGAUACCGUCAAACCUCCUUCCUAUUUUACCUAGGUAUACCGUAUUACCGUGAGUAAUUAUAAAAUUAUGACGUAAAGCUCAGACAGUGUCACCAAACUGUUGACUUGUGCCUAAACCCUUCAGAAACUGAAUACCAAACACUAAUAAUGAAACAAUAACAAAAUCAUGCAACAAAUAGCAGUUUAUAAAAAGUGCAAAUACAGAAUUAAAUGAACAUAAACA